rnacentral:rRNA from 1 species
CACGUGAGUGUAAGCGAAUCCCAAAAAUAAACGUCUCAGUUCGGAUUGUAGUCUGCAACUCGACUACAUGAAGCUGGAAUCGCUAGUAAUCGCGAAUCAGAAUGUCGCGGUGAAUACGUUCCCGGGUCUUGUACACACCGCCCGUCACACCAUGAGAGUUGGGAUACCCGAAGCCUGUGAGCCAACUAUAUAGAGGCAGCAGUCGAAGGUAGAAUCAAUGAUUGGGGUGAAGUCGUAACAAGGUAAC